GGAAGAGUCCAUAGCUUAGUGGUAGAGCACAUGCUUUGCAUGUAAUUAGACUUAGGUUCAAUCCCUAGUGUUUCCA